AACGAACGCUGGCGGGAGGCUUAACACAUGCAAGUCGAGCGCCCCGCAAGGGGAGCGGCAGACGGGUGAGUAACGCGUGGGAAUCUACCCUUUUCUACGGAAUAACGCAUGGAAACGUGUGCUAAUACCGUAUGAGCCCUUCGGGGGAAAGAUUUAUCGGGAAAGGAUGAGCCCGCGUUGGAUUAGCUAGUUGGUGGGGUAAAGGCCUACCAAGGCGACGAUCCAUAGCUGGUCUGAGAGGAUGAUAAGCCACAUUGGGACUGAGACACGGCCCAAAACCCUACGGGAGGCAGCGGUGGGGAGUAGUGGAGAAUGGGCGCAAGCCUGAUCCACCCAUGCCGCGUGAGUGAUGAAGGCCCUAGGGUUGUAGAGCCCUUUCACCGGUGAAGAUAAUGACGGUAACCGGAGAAGAAGCCCCGGCUAACUUCGUGCCAGCAGCCGCCGUAACAC
rnacentral:rRNA from 1 species